rnacentral:rRNA from 1 species
AAUGAACGCUGGCGGCAUGCCUAACACAUGCAGGUCGAACGAAGGCUUCGGCCUUAGUGGCGCACGGGUGCGUGACGCGUGGGAAUCUGCCCUCAGGUUCGGAAUAACAGCGAGAAAUCGCUGCUAAUACCGGAUGAUAUCGCGAGAUCAAAGAUUUAUCGCCUGAGGAUGAGCCCGCGUAGGAUUAGCUAGUUGGUGUGGUAAAGGCGCACCAAGGCGACGAUCCUUAGCUGGUCUGAGAGGAUGAUCAGCCACACUGGGACUGAGACACGGCCCAGACUCCUACGGGAGGCAGCAGUGGGGAAUAUUGGACAAUGGGCGAAAGCCUGAUCCAGCAAUGCCGCGUGAGUGAUGAAGGCCUUAGGGUUGUAAAGCUCUUUUACCCGGGAUGAUAAUGACAGUACCGGGAGAAUAAGCUCCGGCUAACUCCGUGCCAGCAGCCGCCGUAACAC